rnacentral:rRNA from 1 species
UACAGAGGCCCCAAGCAUUAUCCGGAAUCACUGGGCGUAAAGGGUGUGUAGGCGGUCAUAUUAGUCUUUCGUAAAAGCUCUCCGGCUUAACCGGGGAAAUGCGGAAGAAACGGUAUGGCUACGAGGACGUAAGAGGUAAAGGGAACUCAUGGUGUAGGGGUGAAAUCCGUUGAUAUCAUGGGGAACACCAAAUGCGAAGGCACCUUACUGGUACGCUCCUGACGCUGAAACACGAAAGCGUGGGAAUCGAACGGG